rnacentral:rRNA from 1 species
UGGGGAAUAUUGGACAAUGGGCGCAAGCCUGAUCCAGCCAUGCCGCGUGAGUGAUGAAGGCCCUAGGGUUGUAAAGCUCUUUCGACGGGGACGCGGUACCCGUAGAAGAAGCCCCGGCUAACUUCGUGCCAGCAGCCGCGGUAAUACGAAGGGGCUAGCGUUGUUCGGAAUCACUGGGCGUAAAGCGCACGUAGGCGGAUUAUUAAGUCGGGGGUGAAAUCCCGAGGCUCAACCUCGGAACUGCCUUCGAUACUGGUAAUCUUGAGUCCGGGAGAGGUGAGUGGAACUCCGAGUGUAGAGGUGAAAUUCGUAGAUAUUCGGAAGAACACCAGUGCGAAGCGGCUCACUGGCCCGGACUGACGCUGAGGUGCGAAAGCGUGGGGAGCAAACAGGAUUAGAUACCCCGGUAGU